rnacentral:rRNA from 1 species
UCCUAGCCGUAAACGUUGAACACUAGGUGUGGGGAGUAUCGACCCUCUCUGUGCCGUAGCUAACGCAUUAAGUGUUCCGCCUGGGGAGUACGGCCGCAAGGUUGAAACUCAAAGGAAUUGACGGGGGCCCGCACAAGCGGUGGAGUAUGUGGUUCAAUUCGACGCAACGCGAAGAACCUUACCAGGGCUUGAAGUGUAGGGUAAAGCCUGAGAAAUCAGGUGUGCUCCUCUGGG